rnacentral:rRNA from 1 species
GACGAACGCUGGCGGCGUGCUUAACACAUGCAAGUCGAACGGAAAGGCCUGCUUUCCCUUGUGGAUUGCGGGUACUCGAGUGGCGAACGGGUGAGUAACACGUGAGUGAUCUGCCCCCAACUUGGGUAUAAGCCUGGGAAACUGGGUCUAAUUCCCGAUAGGACUGCAGGGUGGUGCCUGUGGUGGAAAACGAUUUUCUAGUGGUUGGGGAUGAGCUCGCGGCCUAUCAGCUUGUUGGUGGGGUAAUGGCCUACCAAGGCGGCGACGGGUAGCCGGCCUGAGAGGGUGGGCGGCCACAUUGGGACUGAGAUACCGGCCAGGCACCUACGGGGGGCCGGCGUGGGGAAUAUUGGACAAUGGGGGGAAGGCUGAUGCCGCGACGCCGCGUGGGGGAUGACGGCCUUCGGGUUGUAAACUCCUUUCGACCGCGAGGAAGCCACCUGGUUGGAAGGGUGGUGACGGUAGUGGUAGAAGAAGCACCGGCUAACUACGUG